GGUCAAGAUGGUGAAAACAUGCCAACCGAAGAAAUCGGCAAUCUAAUUCAGCGAUCAGUACAGAAUAACUUUCACUCGAUUGGAGAGUACCCAACUGUAGUAGCAGAGCCUGGCGCGUUUAUGGUAGGAAAAAGCCAAAGUACAGCAGCAUGUGUUUUAGGGACCAGAUUUGAGGACUCUUACCCAGAAUACCACCUGUCUAUUGGGUGCUACAAUGGAUUAAUAUGGCAUCUCAACGACCCCAAAUAUCCUAAUAAGAUUGAACCUUUGAUUCUACAAAACCCUUCUUCAGAAAAGGUUGAGAAGUUGCAGAAGUCGCACAUAUGGGGCGUAUCGUGUGAUGGGGCAGACGAUUUGGGAGAAAGAAGAGUUCCUAAACUAACAGAGGGAGACUGGGUUGUUUACUCUGAGAUUGGUGACUACUGUAAUGAGCAAAACACUGUUUCCUUCAAUGGAUUCUAUCCACCGGAGAUGAUUUACUGCUGCGAAGAGAGACAUUCACAGCAACUUCAGUAUUUGUUGGCAGAACCGGAAUUUGAAUUU